rnacentral:rRNA from 1 species
UACGAAGGGGGCUAGCGUUGUUCGGAAUCACUGGGCGUAAAGGGCGCGUAGGCGGCUUUAUAAGUCGGGUGUGAAAGCCCCGGGCUCAACCUGGGAAUUGCAUUCGAGACUGAAUAGCUAGGGUGCGGUAGAGGGAAGCGGAAUUUCCGGUGUAGCGGUGAAAUGCGUAGAUAUCGGAAGGAACAUCAGUGGCGAAAGCGGCUUCCUGGACCAGCACCGACGUUCAGGCACGAAAGCGUGGGGAGCAAACAGG